rnacentral:rRNA from 1 species
UACGUAGGGGGCUAGCGUUGUCCGGAUUUAUUGGGCGUAAAGAGCGUGUAGGCGGCCAGGUAGGUCUGGUGUGAAAACUCGAGGCUUAACCUCGAGAUGUCAUCGGAAACCAUCUGGCUAGAGUCCGGAAGAGGAGAGUGGAAUUCCUGGUGUAGCGGUGAAAUGCGCAGAUAUCAGGAAGAACACCUAUGGCGAAGGCAGCUCUCUGGGACGGUACUGACGCUGAGACGCGAAAGCGUGGGUAGCAAACAGG